UUCCAAGAGGGAAAGGUUAUAGCGAUUAUGUAAAAUUGAGUCAUAAGCGUAUAGCUUUUCCCCUUUGGCA
rnacentral:pre_miRNA from 1 species